CGACCUCCAGGCUUUUCUGGCUGAAUGUAGAAAGAGAAAACACCCAAACAGCCCUCCAGAGAAGAAAGUUGUGCAAAGAUUUGCAUAUUUACCCUCCAAGUGCCCAGGCCCACAAUGGGCAUCUUGGCUUUUGUACUGAGCUCCACAAACGUGGCCAUGGUUGGUGCGGAAAUGAUUCUGAGUGAGCAGGUAGAAGUCUCACGUCCUGCUGUGUCCAGAGUUGGUUCCUUCCAGAGGGUUCGUGGUCUCGCUGGCUUCAAGAAUGAAGCCGUGGACCUUCACAGUGUGUGUUACAGCUGUUAAAGAUGUUGUGUCUGGAGUUUGUUCCUUCAGAUGUGUCUGGAGUUUCUCCCUUCUGGUGGGUUUGUGGUGUCGCUGACUUCAAGAAUGAAGCCGCAGACUGUCGUGGUGAUCGUUGUAGCUCUUAAAGGUGGUGUGGACCCAAAGAGUGAGCAGCAGCAAGAUUUUUCGUCAAGAGGGUGGAGUCUCGCUCUGUCACCCAGGCUGGAGUGCAGUUGCCCAAUCUCAGCUCACUACAACCUCUGCCUCCCGGGUUCAAGCAAUUCUCCUGCCUCAGCCUCCCAAGUAGCUAGGACUACAGGUGCACACCACCACACCCAGCUAAUUAUUGUGUUUUUGUUAGAGACGAGGUUACACCAUGGUGGCCAGGAUGGUCUCAAUCUCCUGACCUUGGGAUCUGCCUGCCUUGGCCUCCCAAAGUGCUGGGAUUACAGGCGUGAGCCACUGCACCUGGCAUAAUUUUGGCUACUCUUAAUCAACCCCAGAAGGUUUAAUAAGAACUUUGAUUAGCUACUUUCUAGCUUCAUGAAUUUACCAAGCUAUUCCUGGUUUUGCACCUUUAAGAAACUCAUUUUUUAAAUCUGAUGAAUAUAUGUCCAUAAGAAGCUUUACUUGGUUAAAAUUAAAUACAUACAAAAUUGACAGAAAAAUUAUUUUGUCAAAG
rnacentral:lncRNA from 1 species